rnacentral:lncRNA from 1 species
AGCACCUGGCAAUGAUAAUUUUUGGUUAUGGUAAUUUUCACUCCCACCCCAUCCACCAGGCUGAUACCAACUCUUAGGGUAACAGUAGGCUCCGGCGUUGCCCAUUAGCCCUGUGGUGCAGGACUUCCCCCACUCUGCUUGGUGAUGACAAUCUGGGGCUGGUCUGACCAGGGAUGACAGACAGGCUGGAAAACCCAUGUGAACAAAGACUCCUAGCAAUGACUCAGACCAGGACCAGAGAUAAAGGCCAGUGACCUUAUCUUUCCCCCUUCGUGCCUCCUUCUGAAAGAUCCUUUUGCAGCAGUUCUUGAACUGUAAUCUACAAGGUGGGGUUGGUUCGGAGGACUCUUUUAUAAAGACCUUUUUAUUCAACCCAGAUUCUUAAACUAGAGCAGGCACAAAGGGAGGAGGUUGGCUAAAUACUCAACUCUUUGUCUUGCUUCAUUUUUGGUGAUUUCAGAGUAGGCUGUUGGGGCACACAGAUGGAAGGGACUCUUCUGUCUUUCCACAGACAUCUCACAAAAUCUUUGGUCCACAGAGAACGUAUCAAUAAGAAGAUUAAUAAGAGAAGAAGAAACUUUGAUUUGGAGGAUGGCUGAAAAUUCCCAUUAAGCAAGUCCCUUGAACAGAGCUGCUGUGUCUCUAGUGCUGUCUUUCUGAUCUCCAACUGGGCACGACAGCAGGGAACAUUCCUGUGUGCUCUCUCCAUCUCCCCUGCAUGUCCCUCCCAGAGGACGCUCCGUGUAUCUCCACAUACAUCGCUACAAGUUUGAUGGAAAAGAGGCUGGAGCUUACGUAUUUGGAGAAUUUGAAGACAGAAUUACUAAAUUUUGGGUGCCUCUCCAUAAGACCUGUGGCCAGUCUCUCCGGCUCUGCUGGCUUCCUGCCCGAGCGGGCUCUUCCCGUCUGUGACCCUCGACGCAUGUGUGCAGAGCCACGGGCUGCCUCGAAGUCUCGUCUCCUCUCUCCCCGCCGCCAGAGCUCCGGGCUCCUGGCAGCACAUGGGACUGAGCCCGCGCUGCCAAG